GACGAACGCUGGCGGCGUGCUUAACACAUGCAAGUCGAACGGAAGGGCCCUGCUUUUGUGGGGUGCUCGAGUGGCGAACGGGUGAGUAACACGUGAGUAACCUGCCCUUGACUUUGGGAUAACUUCAGGAAACUGGGGCUAAUACCGGAUAGGAGCUCCUGCUGCAUGGUGGGGGUUGGAAAGUUUCGGCGGUUGGGGAUGGACUCGCGGCUUAUCAGCUUGUUGGUGGGGUAGUGGCUUACCAAGGCUUUGACGGGUAGCCGGCCUGAGAGGGUGACCGGCCACAUUGGGACUGAGAUACGGCCCAGACUCCUACGGGAGGCAGCAGUGGGGAAUAUUGCGCAAUGGGCGGAAGCCUGAUGCAGCAACGCCGCGUGCGGGAUGACGGCCUUCGGGUUGUAAACCGCUUUCGCCUGUGACGAAGCGUGAGUGACGGUAAUGGGUAAAGAAGCACCGGCUAACUACGUG
rnacentral:rRNA from 1 species